UUUUUCUCCUCCGUCUGUCACAGUUUGGAUAAAAAGUGAUGAACACAUGAAUUCAUAAACAAAUGUCCACAAACUCACAGAGACGAGGAGGAUAAAUCCGAGGUUUCAUUCAGCUCCUCAUCUCGCCGCUCGCUCGCUCGCCUCGCUCUCUCUCCUCCUGAAUUCAUAAUCCGACCUGACGCCUCUGACAUCUCCUCCUCCACCUCCUCCUGCAUCUAUAAUUAAUAGUCAGUUGUCAGGGGUUACAGGAGCAGCAUCAGCGCUGCAGAAACAGGUAGAGGUCACGGGGUCAAGUUAUCACGGCGAGGAAAAACAAGCCCGAGUGGAUCUUCUGUCAGAGCGGCCGACAGACGGGAAAACCAGGAGAGACAGGAGUUCAGGGAGGAGACGGGAGGAGAGAAGGAGGGGAGAGGGGAGAGGAGAGAUGAGAGAGGAGGAGACAGGAGGAGGUCUGACAGAUCCGGGAGGAGAGAAGGAGGAGAGGAGAGGAGAGAGGAGAGGAGACAAGGGGAGGUCUGACAGAACCGGGAGGAGAGAG